GGGCCCGCACAAGCGGUGGAGUAUGUGGUUUAAUUCGAUGCAACGCGAAGAACCUUACCAGUCCUUGACAUGGGUAGUUUGGUUAUUGGAGACAAUUUCCUUCAGUUCGGCUGGCUACCACACAGGUGCUGCACGGCUGUCGUCAGCUCGUGUCGUGAGAUGUUGGGUUAAGUCCCGCAACGAGCGCAACCCUCAUCUUUAGUUGCCAUCGGUUCGGCCGGGAACUAUAAGGGGACUGCCGGUGAUAAACCGGAGGAAGGUGAGGACGACGUCAAGUCAUCAUGGCCCUUACGUGUAGGGCUACACACGUGCUACAAUGGGGAGUACAGAUAGACGCUAAAGCGCGAGCUGGUGCUAAUCUCAUAAAACUCUUCGUAGUCCGGAUUGCAGUCUGCAACUCGACUGCAUGAAGUCGGAAUCGCUAGUAAUCG
rnacentral:rRNA from 1 species